rnacentral:lncRNA from 1 species
AAGAUUACAAGUCAACAAGUCAACCAUAUUUUUUGGGUAUUUUUGAAUUAAAAAUAAAUGCAAAAUAAAAUAAACAAAAUAUGGUCCAACAUCAAAUUUAAUUCAAAUCAACUUCAACAAGUCCAAUUAAAUUCUCAUAGGUCUAACAUGGUCAAACAAGCUGUGACAAAUUUUCUCAAUAAUUUUGGAAAUCAAAAACUAUUUAAAAAAACAAUU